rnacentral:rRNA from 1 species
UAGGGAAUCUUCCACAAUGGACGCAAGUCUGAUGGAGCAACACCGCGUGAGUGAAGAAGGGUUUCGGCUCGUAAAGCUCUGUUGUUAAAGAAGAACACGUAUGAGAGUAACUGUUCAUACGUUGACGGUAUUUAACCAGAAAGUCACGGCUAACUACGUUCCAG